CUAAUUUCUCGCCUGCUUCCUACACUAGCACUGUUCUCUCAACUCUUCCUUCUACUUGUGAUCUCUUCAAUGGCGAAUACGUCUGCUCCUUAGUAUUUCCUCUUCCUCUACACACUUGCAAUCUCUCGCUGAAGCCACAAUUUCAAUCUCUCUCUCAGGCUUUGCUGAAGAUCUGUGUUUCUUUCCGAUCAGCUGCGCAGGGUUCAAAUCGGACUAUCAAGCUUUCCUCAACAUUUCUGCUUGUUUCGGACGACCUACGCAGGGCCCGCUUGAUUGGAUGACCACCGCUCUCCCGAUCUACUGCUGAACGUCACCGCCCUUCUCCCGAUCUACAGCUGAAGGUUCCCUCUUAUUUUCAU